rnacentral:lncRNA from 1 species
UAGGAUCCCCAUCACAAGGAGGGGAGGGCUACCAUCCCAGCUGCAAACUCUCAUUCAAGGUUUAUGCUGCAGCCAGCAGUGUCCUUGGAGUCUAGUUCAAAGCUGAAGAGAGUGAACCAUGGAACUGGGAGCCAUUGGCGGAGAGGCUGGCCUGAAGGAAGGGAAGUGUUUCAGCCAGAAUGUACUGACGCACAACCAGGAAACCACAAGACUGAGUAACUACCAGUUGCCAUGAAAUAAAUCACAUCAUCAUAUGGCAGAUCCAGCUAAUAGCUGAGACUGGCAGGAUAACUGAACCGUGUACUCAGAGCUAAAUGAUGGAGAAAUUGGACUGGCCAUGGAGCACUUCAAAUUGAUUGCUUAGUAAUGGG